GUCUGCUUCUACGCUAAAUAUUUCUUGUUGACCUGCAUUUGUGUCCCAGCUUUGUGCUAUUGUGAUAAGCAGACAAAGAUCCAUACACAGCCACACCAAAGCACUUGUAAUUGAAAUGUUUUAAAUGUUUUUUGUUUUGUUUUUAUCUUUAGAUAGAGAAGCUGCACGCAGUUGGCUGGAAGACUUUGCUCCUGGUGGAAUAUCCACACAAGAAGGCCAAAAUGAUCUUACCUAAAGAUGAAUUGUUGAGCAAAGGUGCACAGAGAUGUGUGCAAAACAUUUAUGAAAUUUUUAAAAUGAUGGUUGAAGGUAAAACUAUAUUUAUAUACUAUAAACUUUAUAUAUGUAUUUUUUUAUAUAUUAUUAUUUAGGGGUAGAUGGUGUUGAGCAAUCAAUGAUUGUAAAUAGUAAGGGCAACUGUGCUUCUCUGUGUAUCUGAGGCUUGUGGAUUUUGUAUUAUUUUGCCUUAGCUUUCACAUUUUGACCUAAUUGCGUAAAGUACAUUUUUUGUGUGUGUUUGUAUUCUUCUAGUGAAUCUAGAACAGGCAACAGACAGUAGCCAUGAGCCUGAGGAGGCUACUGUCAUUCUAAAUUUUGAGAUAACGAACCCAUUAAGAGAACAAGAUUCAGUAGCCACAAUAUCCGUGGACCAGGGGACUGUGGCUGUGGGUGAUCAAUCUCCUACUGGACAAGAUUUGACAAGUGGCAUGACUUUAGACCAGGGGGCUGGGACUGAGGGUGGUCCA